UACCUGCAGCCCAAGUGGUGGCCGCUAUUAUUGGGCCUAAAACGUCCGUAGCCGGUUCUAUAAAUGCCUGGGUAAAUCGUACGGCUUGACCGUACGAAUUCCGGGUAGACUGUUCAACUUGGGACCGGGAGAGGCUAGAGGUACUCCUGGGGUAGAGGUGAAAUUCUGUAAUCCUAGGGGGACCACCAGUGGCGAAGGCGUCUAGCUAGAACGGGUCUGACGGUGAGGGACGAAGCCCUGGGGAGCAAACGGGAUUAGAUACCCCGGUAGUCCAGGGUGUAAACGCUGCUCGCUUGAUGUUAGUCGGGCUCCGAGCCCAAUUAGUGUCGGAGAGAAGUUGUUAAGCAAGCUGCCUGGGAAGUACGAUCGCAAGAUUGAAACUUAAAGGAAUUGGCGGGGGAGCACAGCAACGGGUGGAGCGUGCGGUUU
rnacentral:rRNA from 1 species